UAAACGGCCCUUUUCAGGGCCAAUAUAUCAAUCACGAAAGAGUUUG
rfam:Culex pipiens quinquefasciatus supercont3.43 genomic scaffold, whole genome shotgun sequence.